rnacentral:rRNA from 1 species
CUAUGUCGGCGACCGGCGCACGGGUGCGUAACGCGUAUGCAACCUACCCAUUACAGGGGGAUAACACUGAGAAAUCGGUACUAAUACCCCAUAACAUCCAGGGAGGCAUCUUCUUGGGUUGAAAACUCCGGUGGUAAUGGAUGGGCAUGCGUUGUAUUAGUUAGUUGGUGGGGUAACGGCUCACCAAGACAACGAUACAUAGGGGGACUGAGAGGUUAACCCCCACAUUGGUACUGAGACACGGACCAAACUCCUACGGGAGGCAGCAG